rnacentral:rRNA from 1 species
GAACGAGGGGGCAACCCCUAGUGGCAGACGGGUGAGUAACACGUGGUCAACCUACCGCCUCGUGGGGGAUAACCAGCCGAAAGGCUGGCUAAUACCGCAUACGUCCGCGACCGGCAUCGGUCGCUGAUAAAAGGAGCAAUUCGCAAGGCGACGGGACCGCGUCCCAUUAGCUAGUUGGUGAGGUAACGGCCCACCAAGGCACCGAUGGGUAGCUGGUUUGAGAGAGCGACCAGCCACACUGGGACUGAGAAACGGCCCAGACUCCUACGGGAGGCAGCAGUGAGGAAUUUUCCGCAAUGGGCGCAAGCCUGACGGAGCGACGCCGCGUGUGGGAAGAAGGCCUUCGGGUCGUAAACCACUGUCGAAGGGGAAGAUAUUGACGGUACCCUUGGAGGAAGCCCCGGCUAACUACGUG